UACGGGGGGGGCAAGCGUUGUUCGGAAUUACUGGGCGUAAAGGGCUCGUAGGUGGCCAACUAAGUCAGACGUGAAAUCCCUCGGCUUAACCGGGGAACUGCGUCUGAUACUGGAUGGCUAGAGAUUGGGAGAGGGAUGCGGAAUUCCAGGUGUAGCGGUGAAAUGCGUAGAUAUCUGGAGGAACACCGGUGGCGAAGGCGGCAUCCUGGACCAACACUGACGCUGAGGAGCGAAAGCCAGGGGAGCAAACAGG
rnacentral:rRNA from 1 species